GGGGGAGUUGAGGGGCGAUACUCUCUGCUGCUUUUAUCUUCUUUUUCUCUCUUCCCCAUGCAGACCUUUCCACCUCGUCGCUGUGCUCCCCCGGAGACAGCCCUGGAGUCUUCCAGUGUUCCCUUGCUCACUUCCUUUGCGUGGCCCGAGUCAUCGGGCAGCUGCAGCAGCAGCCGGUAUAGCGGCGUACCCCGGUACCCCAGUGCCAUGGCCCGGACCUCGUCGUCGGUCCCAGGCCCGUCCCGGUCACGUCCCGGUUCCAGACCCAGGCCGUUCCUGGUCCCGGUCCUGUUCCUGGCCCUGGUCCGGUCCUGGUCCCGGCCGGACCACGUAGUCAGUCCCAGCUGCAGGGAGGAGAACGCUAUGUUAAGAUUCCCCCUCGCCGAGAGGCUUCUUGGAUUCCUCUGGCUGACGUGCCUGAGAGCUGUCAGACUGUACUCUGAGCAUCAAGCGCCUGCCAAAGGCUAAUGGUUUCCCACCUCCAACGUGAACCUGCCGACCGCCUUGACUGAAGGGUGUCUCGUUUCGCCGACGCUUUACAGCAUAAUUAAAAAAGGAGUGUGAAUAUGAGUUAUGAUCAUAGCUCAAAUUCGCAUGCCUUUUACCUGAUCUUGUCAUUGGUUACGAGACGUGACAGGGAUGCUUUGACAAUGAUGACUAGGAAUGAAUGCAGUGGAGAUCUUUAAAGUUGAUUUGUGAUGUUUUUGAGUUUAAAAUAAUCUGAAUGUCGUUUAAAAUGUUAUUGGAUUGUCGAUGAAAAGAACGACGGGCAGAACAAUCUCGACCCAAUGCAAUCUAAAAAUGUAAUCCCGAAUACAGGAUUACAUAAUGUAAACCUGGUACGUCCAUAUUAAGGUAUGACUCAUUAUAUUGGUUGAACCACCAUGCAGGGUAUGUUCCCUCAUUAUGCAUAGCCCAGUUAAAUUAUAACUGAUUAACUGUUAAAUAUUCAUUCAUUAUUUCACAUUAACUUAAAACUGCUCUGUUUUAACCCAGUGAUCGGUCUUAUUCCCGCAUUCGCAGGAAUUCAAGGUCAAUUAAAGUGUAAUUUAUGCAAGGCUGACUCAUUUAUGGAUUUAGUGAUUAACACUCAGGCAUUCGGUGUCCAGGGGGGACAAUGGUUAAAAUGUGCCUCAUGUUCUCCACAGGGAGUGCCAGCCUUUGAGGAACACUGAUAAGUUACCAUUGGCAACCCCGCACGGGGACAGGAGAAACAUUUUUGGGCUUUUCAUGAUUAAUGAAAUUAAUCAAGCAACAGCAGAACUUUUUUUGAUAAGGUUAUUUAACUGUUAAAUGAAAGUGUGGUGAAUGGAGCAAAACGUAAAAUUAAAAUGUAAAGCCACAAUUCUGUGGGUUUAAUUUUACUACAUUUUGUUGUUAGACUAAAUCCAGGGUUUACGACGCAUUGCAAAGCCAGAGCUCAAAAUUAAACCAGCAAAGUCUUUCAUUGUUUAUUUUACAACCCCCCUAAAAGACCAAUUGAAGUUGUCCUAUUUGGGAACUUUUUAUUUCUGUCCCUGUUUAUGCAGAAGUUAUAACAUGCAGAGACAUCUUAUUCUUUGUCAUUUAAAAUAAUAUACCUCUAUCUAUAUCUGGU
ensembl:lncRNA